AUCCAGAGAAUUUAGCAGNGAUGCUUUAGUGCCUUCGGGAACUCUGAGACAGGUGCUGCAUGGCUGUCGUCAGCUCGUGUUGUGAAAUGUUGGGUUAAGUCCCGNAACGAGCGCAACCCUUAUCCUUUGUUGCCAGCACGUAAUGGUGGGAACUCAAAGGAGACUGCCGGUGAUAAACCGGAGGAAGGUGGGGAUGACGUCAAGUCAUCAUGGCCCUUACGAGUAGGGCUACACACGUGCUACAAUGGCGCAUACAAAGAGAAGCGACCUCGCGAGAGCAAGCGGACCUCAUAAAGUGCGUCGUAGUCCGGAUUGGAGUCUGCAACUCGACUCCAUGAAGUCGGAAUCGCUAGUAAUCGUAAAUCAGAAUGUUACGGUGAAUACGUUCCCGGGCCUUGUACACACCGCCCGUCACACCAUGGGAGUGGGUUGCAAAAGAAGUAGAUAGCUUAACCUUCGGGAGGGCGUUUACCACUUUGUGAUUCAUGACUGGGGUGAAGUCGUAACAAGGUAAGCGUAGUGCU
rnacentral:rRNA from 1 species